CAGCCGUAAACUAUGCGCGUUAGGUGUAUCGGUGACCACGAGUCACCGAGGUGCCGAAGGGAAACCGUGAAACGUGCCGCCUGGGAAGUACGGUCGCAAGGCUGAAACUUAAAGGAAUUGGCGGGGAGGCACCACAACAGGUGGAGCCUGCGGUUUAAUUGGACUCAACGCCGGGAAGCUCACCGGAUAAGACAGCGGAAUGAUUGCCGGGCUGAAGACUCUGCAUGACUAGCUGAGAGGAGGUGCAUGGCGUAGACGUCU
rnacentral:rRNA from 1 species